UGGGGAAUCUUCCGCAAUGGACGAAAGUCUGACGGAGCAACGCCGCGUGAACGAAGAAGGUCUUCGGAUUGUAAAGUUCUGUGAUUCGGGACGAAAGGGUAAAUAGUGAAUAACUAUAGACAUUGACGGUACCGAAAAAGCAAGCCACGGCUAACUACGUGCCAGCAGCCGCGGUAAUACGUAGGUGGCAAGCGUUGUCCGGAAUUAUUGGGCGUAAAGCGCGCGCAGGCGGUUUCUUAAGUCCAUCUUAAAAGCGUGGGGCUCAACCCCAUGAGGGGAUGGAAACUGGGAAGCUGGAGUAUCGGAGAGGAAAGUGGAAUUCCUAGUGUAGCGGUGAAAUGCGUAGAGAUUAGGAAGAACACCGGUGGCGAAGGCGACUUUCUAGACGAAAACUGACGCUGAGGCGCGAAAGCGUGGGGAGCAAACAGGAUUAGAUACCCUGGUAGUCCACGCCGUAAACGAUGGAUACUAGGUGUAGGGGGUAUCGACCCCUCCUGUGCCGGAGUUAACGCAAUAAGUAUCCCGCCUGGGAAGUACGAUCGCAGGAUUA
rnacentral:rRNA from 1 species